CGUCAGCUCGUGCCGUGAGGUGUUGGGUUAAGUCCCGCAACGAGCGCAACCCCUGCGACUAGUUACAACUCUAGUCGGACUGCCGCGAGCAACGCGGAGGAAGGUGGGGAUGACGUCAAGUCCGCAUGGCCUGUAUUGUCCUGGGCUACACACACGCUACAAUGGGCGGUACAACGGGAGGCGAGCGCGCGAGCGUGAGCGGAUCCCUGAAAGCCGUCCGGUAGUACGGAUGAGAGGCUGCAACUCGCCUCUCUGAAUGUCGGAGUUGCUAGUAACCGUGGGUCAGCAUACCGCGGUGAAUACGUUCUCGGGCCUUGUACACACCGCCCGUCACACCACCAAAGUCGGCAACACCUGAAGCGGCUUACGCGAACCCAUUAUGGGACGCGCGUCGUGAGGGUGGGGCUGAUGAUGGGGGUGAAGUCGUAACAAGGUAGCCGUAGCGGAAGCUGCGGCUGGAUCACCUCCUUU
rnacentral:rRNA from 1 species